GAUGAAGAACGUAGCGAAAUGCGAUAAGUAGUGUGAAUUGCAGAAUUCAGUGAAUCAUCGAAUCUUUGAACGCACAUUGCGCCCCUUGGUAUUCCAUGGGGCAUGCCUGUUCGAGCGUCAUUUGUACCCUCAAGCUUUGCUUGGUGUUGGGCGUCUUGUCGUAUUACGACUCGCCUUAAAUACAUUGGCAGCCGGCACUUUGGCCUAGGAGCGCAGCACAUUUUGCGAUCGUAGCCCGUUGUACUGGCGUCCAUCAAGAACAUUUACCACGUUUGACCUCGCAUCAGGUAGGGAUACCCGCUGAACUUAAGCAUAUCAAUAAGCGGAGGA
rnacentral:misc_RNA from 1 species